UACAGAGGUCUCAAGCGUUGUUCGGAUUCAUUGGGCGUAAAGGGUGCGUAGGUGGCGCUGUAAGUCGGGUGUGAAAUCUCGGAGCUUAACUCCGAAACUGCAUUUGAUACUGCCGUGCUUGAGGACUGGAGAGGAGACUGGAAUUUACGGUGUAGCGGUGAAAUGCGUAGAUAUCGUAAGGAAGACCAGUGGCGAAGGCGGGUCUCUGGACAGUUCCUGACGCUGAGGCACGAAGGCCAGGGGAGCAAACGGG
rnacentral:rRNA from 1 species